GUUUAAGAUUUUAUUACAAUCGUUAGAUUCUUUUUUUGUUGCAAAAUACAAGUUUAUCUUCUACAAUCAAGUGCCCAAUGGAUUCUUGAGUAAGAUAAUACAUAAUACAACAACAACUAUUAUAAAAAAGUAUCAGCAAGAGAUAUAUGGUGCUACAUAAAAGUAAAAAUAUGAUCAAGAAGAAGAAAAAUAAAUAAAAUUUACAUGAGGAUUAAUACAAUGAUAUAGUCUCUUGAAAAUCAAGAAUUCAAUUAC
rnacentral:lncRNA from 1 species